CUAUUUUAACUCGAAAUUUACAGAUGUAAUAUAAAAAUGUUUUUCUCCUGCCGUUUUUACAGAGCAAAUGUGCAGAUUUACAGAGAUAUAUUUUUAUGCUGUAAAAUCUCAGUAAAUUUUACAAAACAUUUACAAGAAAAAUAGCAACAUUUCAUGGACAUUUUAUGGGAUCUGAGAGCGAACCUGUGUUAAAAUUUACAGGCUUUUUAUAGAGAUUACAAAACCUCUGUGGUUGUGCAACUUUAAAGAGAUUAUAAUUUACAAAGGAAAUGUAUACAUUUUACAGAGAUUUAACGAACUUUCUUGAAGUCUGUAAAUGGUUCAACUUUGCAAGUGGCUCGGCUUAGCAUAAGGCAUAGCAACAAAGUCGAACAAUGGAGAGAGGUAACUGCGCGCUUAACUUUUGAGAUAUUUGCAAGUUUUAUAAACAUUUCUGACAUUUUGAAUAACGGAAACUCUCUAAAAUGAUUCCAAAUGGAUUUGCAAUCCUUUCUUCGAACAAAUAGUAUGAAUCGGCUUGAAACUAGAACUUGUUUGCAACAAAAACACGAUCGCUCAUCUACAAGUUGUACCCUUGCUGCUGCUUAAAAAGAUUAGAUACAUUUUAAUCAAUGUCUCAAAAUUGCUUCUGUCUUAUCCAUGCAAUUUUUUAAAAAAACGUAAUAGAAAUAAGAGGAACAAAUGCAAUUCCAGAAACAAAAAAAGCUGACAAACAAUCAAGGUUCUUUCUAACCGUGACAUUACAUUUACAUGAAAUUAGAAAAAUUUAAGGGCUGUAAUAGUGAUGUCGGUGAAACGAGUAACACCAGAACUCCUGGUUACACUUGCAGUAUUUUCAGAUUUGUUACGGCUAGUUCAAGGCGUAACUGGUCUGCCAAUUAAACAAUUGAACUUAUCUCAUUACGCCCAGGAUAUUAUAAAACGUAAUAUCAUGGGUGAGAACAAAUUACUCUAUAAUUUUGGCGAAAACUUUCAGCGUUAAUUUAUAAUUUCACAUGUGAAAUUUACAAAAUUGCCAGGCCGUUUGGCCCGAAAUUUCUCCAUUUAAUAAAAAAGUCAAAACCGUAAGCGUAAUUUAUUACCCAUGAUGUGAAAAGGUAAUCAAAUGGUAUACUCGUGAAAUUAGGAAAUAAUUUCAGUUGCUUUUUGUCAACAUUCCUAUAAUUUCCAGAGCCGUUAGACGGGGGAAAUUAUAUGAACUUUGAGAAAACCGGCUUGAAAUGAUUUCCUAAUUUCACUCGUCACCAUAUGAUUACUAAGUCUUGGAAAAAAUGGCUAGUUGUGCUAUUAUCCCUCUUUCAGGGCAACACCCACAUUCAAAAAUGAAAAAUGUAAAUUGAACUACCGGCCAAGGUACUUUCCCCAGAAUUGCAUUAUCAUUUCAUACAAGUUUCGAGUAACAGCGUGAAAUGGGCUUAAAAAGACCAAGGCUAAUAGCCAAUUUUUCACAGGAUUUUAGACUGAAGGUCAAUGAUUUUUGGUGACUUUUAUAUAAGAUUAAGAAUUCCGGAGUGAAAUAUCUCUUUCUCUAGACUGUGGUAUGCCGAUCUGCGUGUUUCGUCCAGUAAUUGAUUUCUUAAGAGAUAAACGGUUCUUUUUUCGGCAAAUCACUCUUACAAUCAACGUAAUUUGGCCACAUGCCCUUAUUCAUUUAGGUUUUGUUUUCAAAUCUCCAACAAAAGAGAAGAUGCCAGCGUUUUCUGAAACUCAUGUUUUGGGUUCUAUAGGAUAUUUUGAAUGUUUUUGAUCUUAAUUACUGAGUUUUUAGAUUCUUAUAUAAAAAUAUCUGAUUUGGCAUUCAAAAUUUUCCUAUCAACGAAGUUUUUUGAGUGAUAUGCUUUUGAUUUGUUUACCGUGGAGCUAUUUUAAACACCACGUAACGGUCGCUAUUAAUUCCUUGUUUAUAGCGGGUGGUUUCAGAUUUUUAACGUGCCAGAUUAUCAAAACAUAAUGCAUACAAGUGAAGUAAACCUCUCAUAGACUGCAAGGAAUAUCUACUAGAAGUUAGACAGAGAUAUUAACACGAAUUAUCUUUAAACAUGUCUAACGAUUUUUUUUGUCCUGUGCAUGCUCUCUGUUGUAAUCUACUCGUGCAUCUUGUUUACACAGGAAACAAGACCACUUUUUACAAAAGGGUUUAAAUCAGCGUGACGGCCACACAAAAAGCAAGUACCAAAUACUUUGGAAGCAGAAGAGGCAUUCGCACUCACAAAUCAGUUUAUAGACAAUAAAGAAUACUCGCGGUGCAAGGUUGGGGUGUCUGUGGUACAAGCGACGUGAUUUUGUACCUUUUGCCUCUGAUCUCCACUCUCUGAUAACUUAUACCACGAUGAAAGAAUGCAAGUGUGUACAUUUCUUUGAGCUUCUUUUCACCUGAUGUAGUGAGUGGCAUUGAAGAAUAAAUCUUAUUAGUAAUAAAAUAUUCUCAAAAACUCACUGCUUCUUAAUGGCUGACCCAGACAAAUGCCUCCAAGACCCUUGAACUCAGCCGUCUCGCUGAAAAUCGAUUGCAGGUUUAAAUCGAAUUUCAUUGACAAUCGUUUGCUUGAGAACAUGUUUCCAACGUUUUACCAGUUCUCUAAAGACGGUUCUCCUGAAGAGCGCAAAUCUCAGUUUCGGCACGGUGGCAAGUUAAGCCAACUAAUAGAGGGGUAUACGUGGGCUUGCAGUUCAACAAAGCACAAAGUACACACGAUGGUUAUAACUUUAUUCAUUGCGGACCAUUCAUUGCAUGACCUAUCAAGUGAAGGCUAUUAGGUAAAGGGCGUAUGCAGCCACGUUGAAAGUGCUCCCAAAUGGCGUGUCAUUGAUUGAAAAUCCAAAGCCACAACACAAAGAAAUCUAUAGCGUAGCUUGUCGACAAAACAAACAUUAUCAGGAAUUUCCAUGCCAUCUACUGUUGAACAGCAGGCAAACUGGCUGCGUCCAACAGCCGAUUUGCUGACGAGCAAGACCGUCAGAUAAAAUGGUUGUACAAAUCGUUCACUUCUGCGGGGAAAACUGACUAACAAGUGUAUACGGGAGGUGGCAGUAUAUUUGCUAUAUUUUGUUUGCUAACAAUGGAGUUAGCUUAGGAAAUUUUGAAAAGUUACUAUAACUUCCGUAAACUUCACACAAAUUAUUGUUUCCCGGUCUGCUGAAACUAAACACGAUGGAUUUUAUUAUUUAUGCUCGAAGUUUCUUGCAACUAUGAAGCCAUAUAUAAAUGCGAAUAUAAAAUGAGUGUAUUCAUUCAGUACUUGAUAUUUCCAUCACUGCUUUACUGCAACAGAACGCUUCUGACAUUAAAUCUUGUGGUGUUCUUUAAAAGCCAACAGAGAAAGUCUGUUUGUUGCAAAUUGUUUUAUCGUGUGUCGUAUCCUAAGAGUUACCGCCCUGCCUGUUCAAGCAACAGUAAUAUACAUGUAUAAAAGUUGAAAUCUCAGUGACGUUUAAUUAACACACUGGCUUAAAAUUAUCAAUGAACGCGGCUUCCUCCCUGCUGUUGUUUAUAUUACAUUCUCCAGUUGUUUUGGUUAGAGCACAGUGGACCAUAGCCUCUGCUGGUCACGUUCAAAAGCGUAUUGUGCAGAAAUUAAAAUGCACUUUCAACUGUAUAACUAUUUCCGGUCAGUUUGAUCUGUUGACUACAUUAUAUUCGUUUGAAGGAAGGACACGCUUAAAUAUAUAGGGCACAAAGAAAAUUAGCGGGGAAACUGAAAGACGUUUGGAGAAAGGAAAAGGUUUAUUGUUGAGUAAUUCACAUCAUGUGCCGAGUUUUAAUUUCGUUCCCUACCGGGAUUUUACACUAAAACAGCGACACUCUGGCGACAACUUAAGUUUGUGGUUCCUUCCAUUUAUCAAAGCGAGAGCAUUGUAGAAUAUUGGUCGCCUAGCGUUUUGACUGCCAUUAACACACGCCGAAAAGUAACUGUAAAUAAUUAAGAAGCUUCGCCAACCCGUACGUUGGAGAACAACUUCAAUUUUUUUUUUCGUUCUUUUCACUUAUGCCACGGCUUUCAAACACAGCUAAAUUUCGUUGGAAAGGCCACGAAUUAACUAACCACUCAACUAAACGAUGCUUUAAAUUCUAGUUCUACGAUUGCUCUGUCGUAUGGCCAACGGAAGUUUUUUAAAAAAUAGACUCGAGAGGAUAACGCGCACGAGUUGCGACUCAAUUCGCUCGCUUGUUGCGCAAUGGUCGUCGUAACUCAAGCUUUACCGGGCGAGGCAUCGAUGAAAGUUUACAAAAGCAAGCGAUAAACUAGGUCAACGAGAAGAAAACAAAUAUCUCAGACGGACUUGAGUAUUUGUCUAAAAGGUUGACCCAAGUGACCGCCAUUGUUGUGUUGUUGUGCUUUCAACAUUAUCUGCAGCCUGAUGAAGUGAAAUUUAUAUGUAGCCAGAAAAAAAAAAAGAAAACCUCACAAUUUUUUGUGCGGAUUCUAAUGUUAUAUUAAUUUUGUCUGCAAUGUGUUUCACUCAGACAUAAUGAAUAUAUUUCGUAUGGCCCGAGGUUAAGAAUGUUAAUUAGAAGUGUGUGUCCUUUCAGUUGCCACACGAAAGCUCAAAUCCUUUAUUCCCUUUUCUCUUAUUUCCAGAAGAAAUAAAUUACAGAGCUGCAGUGUCCACUAGAACCAGAAGUGAACACUUCAAGUGGAAACUGCUAGAAACCCUCACUACGAAAAGUCUUGAAGGUCGAGCUUUUCCAAGGUGACUAGCCACAACAUGAAAUAUGCGCGUCAAAACACAAGUUACUCGCCCGUAAUCAAACAUUCCAUCUACAAAUUGUGGAUAAUGACUGGAAUUUGAAAAUAGUCAACGCUGCGAGAACACGCAAGCAACCUUUUCCUCUCCUUAUGCGAGUUCAACAACUUCGUAGUGAUGUGACAAGGUUUCCCUUUGUAUUGGUGCCCAACACAAAGAGGUUAAUGCCAACAAUUGAUUGAUAUAUAAUAAAACAUCGAGGGCAAUUGUGCUCAGGUUCUUUAAGGAGCCCUGGGUUAAGACUUACAGCAUGUUACAGUACAUUUUCCGAGACCAGGUCGAUUCAGUUAAUCAAUAUUUAAACACAUUUGAAAUUUUCUCGCAUUAAUUUUGCUCUCACCGAGUAGAAUUCAGUGAUGCGUUUUAGACACAAAGCUAUUGACAUACACCUGGAAUGGAAAUUGAUCUAUUUCCUCUUCCCAUCAGAAAAAAAUUGUUACGAGGAAGUCGGGUUUCAACUCAUAAAAAUUUUCUAGUGGCUACUUCAGCGGCAAAAAUGAAUCUUUCCCUUUAAAGUGCGCUUGUGCCUCGAAGCUGUAGGAAAAUUGAUCUGGCGUUGCAUAGAAUUUCAAAAAGCUCCGACAAAGCGAAUUUCAAAGCUCAGACAUUCGAACAAUCGAACGAAAUUGCUUUUAGCUAAUAUACAUACGACGCAGACAUUGUUGAAUUUUAUGAGUACACGCAAAACCCAGCCUUGCACGCAAACUUUUAAUUGGGUUUUCAAGGCGUAUUUUACACUAAAAAUCACGCGAGGCCUUCCUUAGACCCCUUUGCCCGCAUAAAGGAUUGGUACUUCACGAGGGGAGAAACCACUAUGAUAAAGAUAUACCAGAGGUCGAUAGGUCGAUAAUUGCAGCGAAGUAAUGUGAUUACAACGUGUUCAACCUUGGAAAUAGCGUGUAUUGUUACAGUUCGAAAUCCCGCAAAACAUUAAACUAACAGACGUGAGCUCAUGGCAUCACGCAACAGUAAAACAGGGAAGAUUCCGACGAAGGCAGCAGCAUUUGAAAGGAAGAUUUGAGAACAGGAAGUCGCAGAAAAAUUAAUAAAAGUUAAAACAAAUAACGUUUCGCUCCAGCGUUUUCUCAGCUUCAUUCGUGUCGAGGCCGGGCUGAUUUCUGAGUGGCACAUUAUAGCACAAAAGUGACGCAGAGUAAACAUUGCCCUUUAUUUUGAAUAAAAACUAAGAUCAACGAAUCUGCAGAAAAGGAAUUGUGUUUAUCUCGUGUCUGAGGAGAUUAAUACAACCGUGAACAUCAAAUUCUUUCACAAAUGUCGCAUUGGACCACGUUAGGAAGUGCACGAGUGUUUUGUCGACCCCGAGUGCCAAAACUUGGCAAAAGAUUUGCGAAUUAGUUAUCUUUAUUGCAAUUCAUUAAACGGAAACUUUAGCGGUUCACAAGGUUAAUUUUGUAGUUUCUUGGUGUGAUGUUUAACAAGUCUUUAACGCAGGGGUCAUUUUUGAUGUGUAACGCUGAAUUGAAUUGUCUCAGUUGAAAGUUAACGAUCGAAGAGUCAAAGACGGCAAUUCUAUUCAAAUUGACAUUACUUCAACGUUUUACGACAAAUAAAUGGACAAGCAAACAAAUGGUCGGCAACGAUUAGAUUUGACUUCAGAAAUUCUUACGCUAAAAAUAAAAGAAAUAUUGUUUCCCUUAACGAAGAAAAGACUCCACCGCGGCGAUAUGUGAAAGUGUCCAAAACCCCGACUUACCAAACAAGAGGUCAGUUGAUAACCGACAAAAACACCAUGGGAUAUCUACCUUAUUUGACCUUGAAAUCUAGCCUGAAGUCCGAUAAAUUCGACCAUGUAGAUUUCUACCUGGCUAGAAAAUAAAUAUUAAGAGACACGAGCGAGAGGGAAGGGCAUUUCCGUGUCAAAGCCAUUAUUCAUGUAGGUCGUUUCAUAUGACUGUGUAUUUUGGGUGAACGUGUGGUUGUAGGAGCUCAUCGUAAAACAAACAGAAUCCCGAAGAGGAUUACGCCCGCAACUUGGUCGAUAUAGGAAAUAAUAUCAAUCCACUUGCAAUGAUGGCAAGCUUAAUGUUUUUCCCGUUCAUAGCGGCUGUUCAUUAAAGAAAGACGUGCAUUAGCGUUACGUAAAAUUGUGCCAAGUGUUUGAUGACGCUACGACUAAAACGCAACAUGCUUCAAAGAGACACGUCUUCGUCAAGAAAAAAAAUCUUUUCUCGCGUCACAUGUGUAUCAAAAAGGACAAAGAAACACAGCAGAUUCGACCACGAAUAGGGAACAGACGAAAUACCGGAGUUAACAUUGUUUAACCAGCCAAAUAUUUUUGAAAACAAGAGGUUGUUUACACAGGCCUCCUUUCGACUUGGGAAAACUUAUGGACAAGUUCCACGCCUAUCGGUUGUGUUUUCCAUGUCACUGUUCAUUUAAUCCAGUUAAAUUUCAAAUAAAAAGAGAGUGGGUCCUUGUAAAAGCAGAGCGCUUCAGCGAAUGUAAAUUGAACGUGAAACAUUUGGUCGGAAUACUAAUGAUGUUUUCAAAUGCCUUCUGUCUGCCAACGUGGAUGAUUUUAUCAAUGUUAAAAGAAACGCGAUAAAUUCGGCAUUAUCGGGUCGAGAGAGCCGCAUAAUACGAAGAGAAAUGAAUGAUCUGUUUCUGUUAUUUACUAGCCAGGAGAUAUCUUGACCUAUGACGCCCAAACUAAAUAACCCAGAUUUUAUAUUUAGCUACUAUGAACGAAGAAUAAGUCUGCAUGCGAUAUUACACCGGUCGUGGUCCACUACCACAAUUGUGUCUGAGAGACAAUUCCGAGAUAACACAUCAGAUUUUUUCCAAAAUUCUCUUUUAAUUUUGUAUAAUUUCAGUGAUAAUGUCUUGGACAUUCAAUUUCUGACACACAGCUUAGAAAAUUCUACCUACAAUGUUGUUGCUUUAAGCAACACUGGCCGGGCCUUAAACAUGGAAUCAAACACACAGCGAACUUAUAGUUCGAUGAAGAAAAAA